rnacentral:rRNA from 1 species
AACGCACCUUGCGCUCCUUGGUAUUCCGAGGAGCAUGCCUGUUUGAGUGUCAUGAACACCCUCCACCUCCGGGGCUUUUGCGAGCUUUCCGGCGGCUGGGACUUGGGGGAUUACUGGCGGCCUUCGCGGGUCGGCUCCCCUUGAAUGCAUUAGCGGGGCGCGACGCGGUCCUUUGCCCGGCGCGGCCAUCCUCGGUGUAGUACGCUAUUCACCUUGGGUUGGCGCGCCUUGACCCGUCAUGCUCGCUUCUAACCGCGUGUAAUGCGCACUUUCAUUGUACAUUUGACCUCAAAUCAGGUAGGACUACCCGCUGAACUUAA